AUCAACGCUGGCGGCGUGCCUAACACAUGCAAGUCGAACGCGAAAGCCCGCAAGGGUAAGUAGAGUGGCGCACGGGUGAGUAACACGUGGACAACCUGCCUUCGAGUGGGGAAUAACCUUCCGAAAGGGGGGCUAAUACCGCAUAAAACCUCGGAACACAAGUUCUGGGGUUGAAAAGAGCAAUUUGCUCGAAGAGGGGUCCGCGCCUGAUUAGCUAGUUGGUGAGGUAACGGCUCACCAAGGCUUCGAUCAGUAGCCGUCCUGAGAGGGAGCACGGCCACACUGGAACUGAGACACGGUCCAGACUCCUACGGGAGGCAGCAGUGGGGAAUUUUUGGCAAUGGGCGAAAGCCUGACCAAGCAACGCCGCGUGGGUGAUGAAGUAUCUUGGUACGUAAAACCCUUUCGGCAGGGACGAACCUAAUGACGGUACCUG
rnacentral:rRNA from 1 species